GCGGAGGAGAAGGAAUUAACAAAGAUUCCCUCAGUAACGGCGAGUGAAGUGGGAUGUAGCCCAGCACCGAAUCCGCCUGGCCUCGCGCCUUGUGGACCUGUGGUGUUUGGGGUCCCAACUUUCGUUCCGAGUCCACGCUCCUCAGUCGCAUUGAAGGGCUUUUGCUCCAUAGCGGGUGUCAGACCCUUGUGACGAGCUGGAUCGGGCGAAGGUUUGAGGGACCUCUCGAGUCGGGUUGUUUGAGAAUGCAGCCCAAAGACGGUGGUAAGCUCCAUCGAAGGCUAAACAUUGCCACGAGUCCGAUAGCGAACAAGUACCGUGAGGGAACGUUGAAAAGGACUUCGAAGAGAGAGUUCAAUAGUACGUGAAACCGCCUAGAGGGAAACGAGUGGCUCCGCAUUGUCGGCCAGCGGUGUUCAUGUCGAUGUGCUACGAGAUUCGGUCCGAGUUUGUGUACAGUCGAGCAGGUCUCCUCGUGGGAUUGUGUUUUGGCUCACAAAGCUUGCGACAUGAAGAUCGCACUCGAAUGCAUUCACCGUGAGGCAGGGCGUCACGAUCGCUUUCUGACGAGCUAUCUUCCAUAAGGCUGGCGCGUGCGAACAUCUUCGUGAUCGUUCAACUCGUGCGGCUGUUGGUCGAGUUUGAUGGAGAGCGUGUAACGAUCACUGCGAGCGUGGGCACAAUGACCUAUCUGCGUCGAGGAACGAACCUUGGCCUAAGCUUCGGCUGCGGUUUCAAGUUGAUCGUGUAAUCGGCGAGUGGGUCAGCCCUGCGUGGUUUUGGAUCGGUGGCGAUUGAGUCGG
rnacentral:rRNA from 1 species